CACAUCCAAUAUUUUGAGGCCCUCAGCCUGAUAGUGGAUAUCGGGCUGGGCUUCAACUUUCUUUCCACUGUUUUGGGCACAUUUGGCGAUGUGUCGCAGUUUCCUCCUUGGUAUGGCCAAUUGUGCAGUUUGUUUAUUGGCCACAAGGGCGCUCGGGGAGUUUAGUGUUAGCCUCCACACUCACUCCCCUUACCACAGCUGAUUUUCCCCUAUGCAAUGUCGUUAGCAAUCUUCCUUUUUUGUCGGUAAUACUGACAACACAGCCCCUGUCCAUCUGUGAUCAGCUUGUCUUGUUUGCUGUGUGCAUUGUCACACAUACUUUCUUGAGCCCACUUGUCCACUGAUGGGGUUAAAUUUUCUCCCCACCGUUUGACAUAGUGAGCUCUCUGCUUGAUCCAUUCCACCUGUCAUCCCAUCAAGCCUCCUCACGCUGCAGGUGUAUUGCACGCAUUGCUUUGGGACUUGUUUCAGCUGUGAUUGGCCCACCCGAUAUCAUGUGAUGCUUACACGUCACACAUCGGGUUAGGACAGCCUAUUUAAACGGCAUUUUGCUGCACACUCAGUGCAGAAUGCCGCAGGGUCAUAUGUUCAGUGAGCACUCUUGUCCUUAAUGCUUUGCAGGUAUGUUAAACUCCUUUUGUGUUAUCUCUCUACAACUACACUGCUAGAUUUCACUCCAUCUAAUUGCAACUAUGCUUGCUGUGUAUGCUCUUUAGUUCCCCUUCUGGAUCAAGCAGCUGAUUUCUUCUGGCUUUAUACACACUAAGCUUAUUGUGACUUUGCAACACUGCCUGCGAUCCUUAUAUAGAUCUUAUACAGAUAUUUUGGGAAAUCUACAUGAUUCCUUCCUUGAAUUAACACUGCAGCUGGAUUGCUCAUUGAUGUCCCUGGUCUUUAACCCCAUAAACCGUUAUAUAUGUAAGUCAUUUAUGCUUUAUGGUCUCACAGUCAUUACUGCUAAACUAAGUUAACCAAUAUUUUGGUCAUUAUGUCUUAAAUACAUAUAUAUCUCACAGAUAAUAAUAUGUUAACCCCUAGCCAUCCCUUUUGCUUUGGCUAUGGUGUGUUUUUUUUUUUUUUUUUUUUUUUUUUUUUUGUUUUUUUUUUUUUUUUUUUUUUUUUUUCUCCCUCUGUCUCACUUACAUGUUAACCCUUAUAUGACUGUCCUUUUGUGACCAUUUUCAAACUUUUCCUGCUCAUUUGCAGGAUCAUGCACAUGACCAUUUUCACCUCGGCGGUUUUCUGUGUUUGUCGCUAGUUGUGGGCAACUCGUGGUUGCAUAUUUUGACUGGAUAUCGCUCCCUCCCCUGAAGAAGCGGAAGUCCGCGAAACAUGUAGGGUCUAUGCGAUUUCCUUUUCCAGUUGCAUCCAUA